AGGAGAGACAGAGGGACAACACACAGGACUGGGAGACAUGGAGAGAGGAGAGACAGAGGGACAACACACAGGACUGGGAGACAUGGAGAGAGGAGAGACAGAGGGACAACACACAGGACUGGGAGACAUGGAGAGAGGAGAGACAGAGACAGGACACCCCAACACUAUAGAGAGUAGAAACACAGAGAGACAGCAUAGAGUCACAGAAAAGAGAGAAACAGAGACUGAGACUGGAUGUGGUGACUCUAUCAAUGCAGAAGCUAACUACAAAAAUGCUAACUGUAAGGAUAGCAGACACAUCAAUGCAGAUAGCCAUGAAACAUAUUCUGAUGUGUUUAAAGGAGACCGAGACACCAGUCACUCAAAUCCAGACAAGAACCUCACAGAGGCUACUCACACAGACCAAGACACUGACAGUACAGACACAAGCCCUGGUCAAGCAGAUGUUGAACACACACAUAAUGACUAUACAACAACAAGCAGUGUAUUUGUAGACACUACAAUAACAGAGGAAACUGACAGUACAGACAGAAUACCUUCUGACCCUAACACCACAGAGACUAUGCCAACAGACACAUGCAUCAAACAUAGCGACUCAACAGACACAAAUACAGACACACCCUACAAAGACAGCCCUACAGACAGCAGUCACACAGACACAGAUCCUCUCCAAGGCAGACACAGAGGUAACCCAUGGAGACAGCCCUACAGACACAGGUAUAGACACUGAUGUUGAUUGUUCAGACAGUAACGUUAUAAAGACAGACAGACACCGUUCAGCCACAGACUAACCAGGAUGAUGAUAGAUCUGUUCACAUCCUCACAGAUACUCUCCAUAAAGAUAGUAUCACUCCUACAGCUAUUUAGACAGACAAAGAUGUCAGCCAUCUUUACUAUGUCUAGCAAUGACAGUGUUUUUUCUCAUUCAUAUUAUGUCUGUAUGUAAUUAUGAAGAGCAAUUUUUCUAUAGUUUACAUACUCUGUAUAUUACAGAGGUUUAUAAAGCUUUUGUAAAUAUUUAGUUUUUGAAUUGAAUUAAAGUGAAUUAAAGUUAUGUAUGACUAGAUCUUUGUGUUUGUUUUGGUGUUAUUCAGUUGUAAGGAUUCAUUAACCAACCCUAACAUACAGUAUAAACUUAGGCCAGAGUUUCUAAAUAACAAACAGAUCCUUUAGUCAAUAUUUCUAAAUAUCAUUUAUUUUUCUUUCACCUUUAUUUAACCAGGUAGACCAGGUGAGAAAAAGUUCUCAUUUACUACCACGAUCUGGCCUAUAUUAAGCAAAGCAGUGUGACAAACACAGUUACACAUGGGAUAAAUAAAUAUACAGUCAAUAACACAAUAGAAAAGUCUAUGUACAGUGUGUGCAAAUGUAGUAAGAUUAGGGAGGUAAGGCAAUAAAUAGGCCAUAGUGGCGAGAUAAUUACAAUUUAGCAUUAACACUGGAUGAUACAUUUGCAGAUGAUAAUGUGCAAGUAGAGAU
rnacentral:lncRNA from 1 species